CAGAUGUGUAUGUCUGGAAAAUAUAGUGCCUUGCUACAUGACAUCCACGCAUUGUUAUUGUGAAGGAGGUGUGCUGCAAGGCUGCAGCUGGCAGCUGUGAGAAAACGCAUCACUUACAGCAGAGACCUUCAGACCUAGGCUAGCGUUGCCAGCAGCUGAAAUUCCUGGAGCUGUAAACACUGUUGAUAUUGUCUAAAGAUAAAAUAAAAUAAAAUAGUUCAGGAAGACCUGACAAAUGUGCUCUUUCCCCUGCAUCAGUGUGGUAGGGAUGGAUACUGUUUUAUACACAUGGCUGGUUGUUCACUAGUAAAGUACCAAUCCAAAAAGGCUGUUUAACAACAGUUAAUUCCACUUAACACGGGCUAGGAAAUCAUGCAGGGAAUUCACCACCAGCCUGGCCACUGGGGGAAAACAACUGGUGUUGCCACCUACAAGGAACUCAAACAGCUCAGCAUCCACCUGCUCCCAACAGGUGGGCACCCAGCAUAUAUUACAGAUUGCAUAGAGAACAGCUGAGGGAUGAUACCCUCCCUUAAAUCAAGCUUGUUUACAUUUACUUGAAUAGUGGCUUACUUAAAUUCUUUACAAAGGAGUAGUCAGAAUUUGAAGAGAAGAUUCUGCUUCAUGGGCUGAUUCUUGCUCCAGAAAGAAAAGACAUCCUGGGUUCAGAGGGAUCCUGAAAGAAAUGCUGUUAAUGAAUGGCCUUCCCAGCUGUGCAUGCUAUGUUACACCCAGCUCUCUCUUGAUUAUUCUUGCAAAAUAGCUGUGAUCCCAUUUUAUACAAGGUUACAAGAAAAGAGUGCAGAGUCAGCUCUCUGGACUGAAGAUUGCACUGGUCAUGCUGGUACCCAAGAAGCAUCUCUCCAGUUACAUUCUGCCUGGUUGCCUUUUCAAGACCUUGGGUUUUUUAAUUCCUAUGCAUGGGGAACAACAUAUGGCAACAUCUCAGUGAAGAACAGUACCUCAGGUCCACUUUGGGAAUCUUGCUGAUACCUGCAUUUCAGGUGUGGAUGACAACUGAGGUGUGGCAGGCAGAGCAGGUGGCUCUGGAGGCUCCUGCUUGUCUGUAUGCAGUCCGUCAGUCACUGUCAAGUGUCAGGUCACAGAAGCCCCCGCCUCUAAACAAGGAUGUCAUCAGAGGCAACAUGUGCUUCUAAAGGUCAGUCUCCAGCUGUUUGUUAAAGACCUACAUUUUACUCUCUGUGAGAAGAGGUGACUUCUGCACAGAGCAUAUUUGCUUCAAAAUCCAUGCAGUAAGCAGUAAAAAAAGAUAUUAUUUGUUAGCUUCACUAUGUUUUCUUUAUUUCCCUUGGUAACAAGGGAAUACACCAUAGCUCUCAGUUGCCUCUCUCUUUUUCUUUUGUUUAAAUGCUCUGUGCAUGAAAAUUAUCUUUCACCUUUGGUGAUUUAUAAUAAUUACAUUAAAAUUAUUGUUUGCCCAUUUACAUGCUCAAAAACACUUCCUAUGACCUCAUCAAGACAGUCUUUGGGAUAAGGAAAGGCCACAGAAUUGCUAGAAAACAUAUGUGAACUGUUACAGAUAUUCACUGCCUGUCUCGUCUCCUAUCUUGGGUAUACAUAUAAAGAAGAAUAGCUUUUUCCCACAUCACUGAAAAAUUAUUUAGAGUCUUCCUCAGUCUUUUUCUUAACAAAUAUCUAAAAAAAACUUUCAGAAGCAGUACCAGACUUGAUAUUUUAAUUACAGCAGUAGUAGAACAACUCAGAGAAUCUCUAACCUCAAGUGAUGCAGUCUUUCUUUUGCCAAGAGGAUAAUGAGACAAAUGAGGAUUAUUCAAUUAUGCUAAUUUCAUCCAAGUCUUGGCUUCUUUUUUCCUCUGUGAGGAACACUGAAAAAGAACAAAUAAAGGAAUAACUAGAAGACA
rnacentral:lncRNA from 1 species